CAACUGUGAAGUUUACAGCUUUAACUUUCCUUUAUUUGCUGGAUGAUGUUUGACAGCCAUGUAUUUUCCAAACUUUUAUACACCUUCAUCUGUGUUAUCACUAAAUGUUGCUGCUAAUCCAUUACCGAUCCCUCCAAAUCUUUGCUGCAACUUAAAAAUAACCUGUUUUCUCCCUUUCCCAGUUUUUCAAUAAAACAAAAAAAGGAAAAGGGCCUGAAGCAAAAGUUUCGGCACCCUGCAUGAUUUACAAAAUACUGACUGCUGUGCAUUAGGAGUGCUUUGCACUAGAAGGAUUCUCCAUAGGAUAACAUUGUAAAUUGGGUGCCACCUCAGCUGCAAGAGAACUGGAUGCAGGCCCAAGAUACCCAAGAAAUGCCUUUAGAAGACUUGAAUCCUGAAUAACAGCAUCCUAAAAUGGUUGCUAGUUUUACACCAGUUUGGUAAAUAGAUUGACUGGACAGCUAAUCUGUUCUACCAACUGUACUAAGCCUAAUUACAUAGUAAUUUAUAAGGCAUGUGUCAGCCUGUAUCUGGCUGUUCCCUGACAAUACACUGGCAUGAACUUUGUUACUACCUUUAUUAAUCGAAGUAUUCUCCUACAGAAAAAAGUCUGUAGGGUUCUUGUGCCUGUGUGGAAGGGACAGUAUCUUAUCUCUUCCAGCUGAUGCAUACCCCAGUUGGUUUUGCAGGCUUCUAGCUUGUUUGUAUACACUACAGAGGUCAUAUGGAGAGCUUGAUGGCAGAUGAAUUGUAUUCUCAUUGUUUAUAAAUACAACGUAGACUUUGUUCUCUGGGUGGCGUACAAUGAUGGUGUCUAGCCCAAGAACUUGAUGUGCCUGUUCACAGCCCACUGCAAUGGUUGCAGCCACAGAAAUGGAUGUAGUAGAUCUAAAUGAAGACGGCAUCUUUUAUGAAUGAAGCACACUAAUUCCUUAAUUUCGUUGGACGACAGAUGCUUUGGAAAUUUAGGAAAAUGCUGAAGUGGUGGAAAAAACGAAUGUGUUCAGUUCAUAUGCGCCUAAGGAAUGUGAUUACAGAACAUUUUUAUGAACUUCACAAUUAACAUGCAGACUUUUAAACCAAUGAAGAGCAAUGUUAUGAACAUUAUAAGCUAGUUAUAGUGUAAAGUUGGUUUAAAAAUGUACCGAAAAAGCUACAUUUAAUCUAUUUUAAACUGCUGAGGUUUUGGGAUGCCUGGUUCAAUGUAGCCUAACAUUUUUUUUUUGUCAUGACUUUGUGAAAGUGUGUUGGUGCCUCUGAGAUUUCAUAAUGUGUUUGCUCUUUGCCAAUUAGUUAAGGCUUUUUCUAGAAUAUUAUUUCACCUGCAAAGAUCUAGAAUAUUGGCAGAUAACUAUUAGAAAAAUAUGGAGUAGAAAUUUGCUGGUAAAAAGAACUCCGGCUUCUAUGGUGUGCUAGAUAUUUAUACCAUACACAUUUUUUUUACAUAUGCUAAACAUAAAAGGUCUGAAAUAAGCUUUCCAAGCAGUGUGCCACACAGUAAAAUAAAAAUUGGAACAAGA